GUAGGUGGCAAGCGUCGUCCGGGAAUUAUUGGGGCGUAAAGCGCGCGCAGGCGGUUCUUUAAGUCUGAUGUGAAAGCCCACGGGCUCAACCGUGGAGGGUCAUUGGAAACUGGAGAACUUGAGUACAGAAGAGGAAAGCGGAAUUCCACGUGUAGCGGUGAAAUGCGUAGAGAUGUGGAGGAACACCAGUGGCGAAGGCGGCUUCCUGGUCUGUAACUGACGCUGAGGCGCGAAAGCGUGGGGAGCAAACAGGAUUAGAUACCCUGGUAGUCCACGCCGUAAACGAUGAGUGCUAAGUGUUAGGGGGUUUCCGCCCCUUAGUGCUGCAGCUAACGCAUUAAGCACUCCGCCUGGGGAGUACGGCCGCAAAGGCUGA
rnacentral:rRNA from 1 species